rfam:Pan troglodytes isolate Yerkes chimp pedigree #C0471 (Clint) chromosome 3, whole genome shotgun sequence.
GCCAGGCGUGGUGGUGCACACCUGUAAUCCCAGCUACUCAGGAGGCUGAGGCAGGAGAAUCACUUGCGCCCGGGAGGCAGAGGCUGCAGUGAGCCAAGAUCGUGCCAUUGCACUCCAGCCCGGGCAACAGAGUGAGACUCUGUCUCAA